AGUGAACGCUGGCGGUAGACCUAACACAUGCAAGUCGAACGGCAGCACAGUAAGAGCUUGCUCUUACGGGUGGCGAGUGGCGGACGGGUGAGGAAUACAUCGGAAUCUACUUUUUCGUGGGGGAUAACGUAGGGAAACUUACGCUAAUACCGCAUACGACCUACGGGUGAAAGCAGGGGAUCUUCGGACCUUGCGCGAUUGAAUGAGCCGAUGUCGGAUUAGCUAGUUGGCGGGGUAAAGGCCCACCAAGGCGACGAUCCGUAGCUGGUCUGAGAGGAUGGUCAGCCACACUGGAACUGAGACACGGUCCAGACUCCUACGGGAGGCAGCAGUGGGGAAUAUUGGACAAUGGGCGCAAGCCUGAUCCAGCCAUACCGCGUGGGUGAAGAAGGCCUUCGGGUUGUAAAGCCCUUUUGUUGGGAAAGAAAAGCAGCAGGUUAAUACCCCGCUGUUCUGACGGUACCCAAAGAAUAAGCACCGGCUAACUUCGUG
rnacentral:rRNA from 1 species